rnacentral:rRNA from 1 species
UACGAAGGGGGCGAGCGUUGUUCGGAUUUACUGGGCGUAAAGGGCGCGUAGGCGGCGCGAGAAGUCGAGUGUGAAAGCCCCGGGCUCAACCUGGGAAUUGCGCUCGAUACUCUUGUGCUUGAGUUCGGGAGAGGAGCGUGGAAUUCCCAGUGUAGAGGUGAAAUUCGUAGAUAUUGGGAAGAACACCGGUGGCGAAGGCGGCUCUCCGUCGGAC